GGAGCCUGCCGUCAGAGAGGACCCAGAGAGGGGCAGGUGGAAAGCUGAAGAGAUGUAGAAAUAGGAAGUCUAGCAGCUGCAGACCCUUCCUGUGGAAUUGCUACCACACCACUGCUCCUGGACCCCCUCCUACGAUGAGACUCUGUGCCAUUUUGCAAACACUCAGAAGGAUGAAGCCUCAGAGCAGCUAAGAACAGGGUGAUGUGGGUCAGUGAGUUUACUCACUGGCAUGUGAUUUGGACUUUCAUCAAACCAGUCAACCAGGGUCUUCCCUGGUGGCACAGUGGUUAAGAAUCCGCCUGCCAAUGCAGGGGACACGGGUUCGAUCCCUGGUCCGGGAAGAUCCCAC